UACGAGUGGCCCAAGCGUUAUCCGGAAUUAUUGGGCGUAAAGGAUAUGUAGGUGGUCGUAUUAGUCCGAUGUCUAACCUCUAGGCUCAACCUGGAGACAGCAUUGGAAACGGUAUGACUAGAGUAUGUUAGGGGUAAGCGGAACUCAUAGUGUAGGGGUGAAAUCCGUUGAUAUUAUGGGGAACACCAAAAGCGAAGGCAGCUUACUGGAGCAUUACUGACACUGAAAUAUGAAAGCGUGGGUAGCGAAU
rnacentral:rRNA from 1 species